rnacentral:rRNA from 1 species
CCCUUAGAUGUCCUGGGCCGCACGCGCGCUACACUGAUGCAUUCAACGAGUAUUUCCUUGGCCGAGAGGCCUGGGCAAUCUUUUAAACCUGCAUCGUGAUAGGGAUAGAUUAUUGCAAUUAUUAAUCUUGAACGAGGAAUUCCUAGUAAACGCAAAUCAUCAAUCUGCAUUGAUUACGUCCCUGCCCUUUGUACACACCGCCCGUCGCACCUACCGAUUGGAUGUUCCGGUGAAGCCUCGGGAUGAGGACUGGUGCCUUUAUUGGCAUGAGUUGUUCAGAACUUGUCUAAACCUUAUCAUCUAGAGGAAGGUGAAGUCGUAACA